rnacentral:rRNA from 1 species
UACAGAGGGUGCGAGCGUUGUUCGGAAUUAUUGGGCGUAAAGGGCGCGUAGGCGGUGCGGUAAGUCACCUGUGAAAUCUCCUGGCUCAACUGGGAGCUUGCAGGCGAAACUGCCGUGCUGGAGUGUGGGAGAGGUGCGUGGAAUUCCUGGUGUAGCGGUGAAAUGCGUAGAUAUUGGAAAGACCACCAAUGGCGAAGGCACUCUAGCUGGGCCAUUACUGACACUGAGAGACGAAAGCUAGGGGAGCAAAUGGG